rnacentral:rRNA from 1 species
GAUGAACGCUGGCGGCGUGCCUAAUACAUGCAAGUCGAGCGCGAGAGUGAGGAGCUUGCUCCUCAUAAUCGAGCGGCGGACGGGUGAGUAACACGUAGGCAACCUACCCUUGAGAUUGGGAUAACUACCGGAAACGGUAGCUAAUACCGGAUACGACUUUUCCACACAAGUGGAAUGGUUAAAAGGCGGAUUUAUCUGCCGCUCAUGGAUGGGCCUGCGGUGCAUUAGCUAGCUGGUGAGGUAGUGGCUCACCAAGGCGACGAUGCAUAGCCGACCUGAGAGGGUGAUCGGCCACACUGGGACUGAGACACGGCCCAGACUCCUACGGGAGGCAGCAGUAGGGAAUCUUCCGCAAUGGACGCAAGUCUGACGGAGCAACGCCGCGUGAGUGAUGAAGGGUUUCGGCUCGUAAAACUCUGUUGUUAAGGAAGAACACUUGAGGUAGUAACUGGCCUUGAGAUGACGGUACUUAACCAGAAAGCCACGGCUAACUACGUGCCAGCAGCCGCAGUAA